UACGGAGGAUGCGAGCGUUAUCCGGAUUUAUUGGGUUUAAAGGGUGCGCAGGCGGCACGGCAAGCCGGCGGUCAAAUCGCGGGGCUCAACCCCGCCCAGCCGUCGGAACUGCCGGGCUAGAGUGGGCGAGAAGUGCGCGGAAUGCGUGGUGUAGCGGUGAAAUGCAUAGAUAUCACGCAGAACUCCGACUGCGAAGGCAGCGCACCGGCGCCCUACUGACGCUCAGGCACGAAAGCGUGGGUAUCGAACAGG
rnacentral:rRNA from 1 species